rnacentral:rRNA from 1 species
GUAGGUGGCAGGCGUUGUCCGGAAUUAUUGGGCGUAAAGCGCGCGCAGGCGGUUCUUUAAGUCUGAUGUGAAAGCCCACGGCUCAACCGUGGAGGGUCAUUGGAAACUGGAGAACUUGAGUACAGAAGAGGAAAGCGGAAUUCCACGUGUAGCGGUGAAAUGCGUAGAGAUGUGGAGGAACACCAGUGGCGAAGGCGGCUUUCUGGUCUGUAACUGACGCUGAGGCGCGAAAGCGUGGGGAGCAAACAGGGAUUAGAUACCCUGGUAGUCCACGCCGUAAACGAUGAGUGCUAAGUGUUAGGGGGUUUCCGCCCCCUUAGUGCUGCAGCUAACGCAUUAAGCACUCCGCCUGGGGAGUACGGCCGCAAGGCUG